AUGGCUCCAUCCCUCCUCCUUGUCCGAUGGAGCGACCGGCAUCACUCCGUCUCGAACUGCUCCAGAGAGAGAAAGAGGAGAGGAAGGUGUGGCGGCGGACGGGAGAGGGUCACCGGCUGCUGCCGGCCUGCGCGGACGAAGUCGGGCGCGACCUCGCGGUCUGUGGCGGCUCAAUCUGCUCCUAGAUCGAUCGAGGGCCACGCCAAGGUCGUUGAUCUGCUGCUCGACCGCGAUGCGGAAGCCGUCGUCCAGGACCAGUGGGGAAGCACGACGAAUGUUUUACUACACAUGGUGUUAACUAAGCGCAUGAAGAUUAUGCCUUCUUCAAUGCAAUAUUAUGCUGACACUUUUGAGAGAGGAGAAGAAAGAAAGGGUGACAUGCUGACCGACGACGAUGCAGCCUCGGAAGAGGAGGAGGAGAAGAAAGAAGAAAGAGAGGGUGAGAAGAGUCCGAUUCUGGUCAAGAGAUGCCAUGGGGAAGAUGCUGGCCUUAUUUCUCACACCCCGAAAGUCACAUUACUUCUAUGA
rnacentral:rRNA from 1 species